UACAGAGGGUGCGAGCGUUAAUCGGAAUUACUGGGCGUAAAGCGUGCGUAGACGGUAGCGUAAGUCAGAUGUGAAAGCCCCGGGCUCAACCUGGGAACUGCAUUUGAGACUGCUCUGCUCGGGUGCGGAAGAGGGAAGCGGAAUUUCCGGUGUAGCGGUGAAAUGCGUAGAUAUCGGAAGGAACACCCGUGGCGAAGGCGGCUGACUGGAUCGCAACUGACGCUGAGGAACGAAAGCUAGGGGAGCAAACAGG
rnacentral:rRNA from 1 species